rnacentral:SRP_RNA from 1 species
UGGGCAUAGUGGCACAUACCUGUUGUCCCAGAUACUUAGGAGGCUGAGGGAGUAGGGACAUUUGUGUUGUGAAGCUCUGAGCGAUAGUACUCUAUCCCUAUUGGGUACCGAAAUUAAGGUUGACAUUAAAAUGGCAACCAUCCAAAGGUAAGGGACCAUCAGGUUGCCUAAAGAGGAGCGAACUGUCCUCGGUCAGAAAAGAGCAGACCAAAACUCCCAUGCUGAUCAGCAGUGGGACUGUGCCUGUGCAUAGCUACCAUACUUCAACCUGGCAACAUAGCAAGACUCUGUCUU